GUUAAUAUUUUUACGAAUUUAUAGAAUGGAAGAGAAAAUAAUUCAUAAUAUGAGAGCUUGUAUCUUUCAUUAUUCUUCUCGUUGGCCAUUAAUAUAGAUGCCGGCCCAUAAAGCCAUUUUCUUGAUUGUUGCUAAGAUAUCUUCUUCAAUUCUCAUUAAAUGUUUUUCCGGAAUAUUAAAUUUUGUUAUAUAUUAAAAUCAAUUUGAAGUUGAAAAGAAGAAGGUUGGAGAUUUUGGAAUUGGGAAUUUAGAUAGAAUCGAAGAGACAGACGUUCAAAUUGAGCAAAAUUUAAUUUCAAAGCUAACGGGAACACCGUGUAAUUGUCCUGUGGCUUCUUUCAAAACUUGAAUUUCGGAUGCUGCCGCAGUAGUUAGCUUCUUCUUAUACAAAGUUUCAGCAAUCUUGUAAUCUAGGGUUUUGAAGUUUCCCUUCCAACUAUUCCACAUGGCUUUCUGGGGAGUCGAAGUGAAACCAGGCAGACCUUUCACUCAUGCCGCUAGUGGUGCGAGAGGAAGGCUUCACAUUUCUCAGGCUACUCUAGGGGUUGGCACGCCAACAAACAAAAGUCUGCUACAAUGUAAUGUAGGAACUAAGAGUCCUGUACUCUUAUGCUCAUUGUUUCCUAACAAGUUCGAGUCCUGCCAAUUGAAUUUGGAAUUUGAUGAGGUGGAUGAAGUUGUGUUCUCAGUGAUUGGACCUCGCAGUGUUCACAUAACUGGCUAUUAUCUUGGCAGUGCUGGGCGUUCUAAUUUAUUAAAGGACGAUGACUCAGAAUCAUAUGGAGAAGACAUUGAUAAUACAGAGUCAGAAGCAUUUGACAAUAACGAUGAUGAGUAUGAGUAUGAUAGUUUUAUUGAUGAUGAUGAUGAUCCGGAGAUCUUCCCAGAUUCUCCAGUUUCUGAGGGUGAAAUAGUUAAAGAUACAGUUGGCAAAAGGAAAUCUAGAAAUAAGAAGAGACUUAGAAGACUUGUGAAGAAGCACAAAUCUGAUGAUCAAUUUUUUUCUGGGAGUGAUACCGAUAUGGCAUUAUGGGACGGUGAAAAUGAAGAAAACCUACCAUGUUCUUCAACCCGCAAGGACACAUGCCUAGCAAUUGGGGUGAGCUUUGGGAUGGAAAUGACUGACAUAGAAGCAAAUGGUGGGACUGGCAUUGGCAAGAAUACAUUAGGAGAAAAGGUUAAUGCUGCUUCAGCAAUUGAGUCUGUAAGGGAUGCUAGCAUCCAGCCUUCUGCUAAGAUGAGCUCUGAAAAUGAUGCAACACCGAGGAAGAAAAAGAAAGUGCAGGCAAAGGAGGCAAAAUGUUUGGACAUUGCACAUACUCACCAUGAUGUUCUUAAGCAUGAUGAUGAACUGCAAGAGGAGGAAAAGUCUAAAGAAGCAUGUCUGGAAAGGAAUGUGACAAAUGAAGGCUGUGAAAAUGGAAAAAUAAUGAAGAAGAAAAAGAAAGAAACAAAGGGUGAAAUUGCUUUUGAUAUUAGUGGUGUGAGCCAUGGCAAUGAUAUGCAGCUUGAGGCAGAGCAUGAGGUCUUGCAAGAUUUUGAGAAAUCUGGAAAUAGGUGUGAUGAAAUGAUUGUAGAAAAUGGAGGCUGUGAAAAUGGAAUAAUGAUGAAGAUGAAACAUACAAGACAAGUAAAGGACGAAAAGGCUUCUGAAAUUAAUGGCGGGAAUUGUGGCGAUGAUAUUUUACUUGAGGAAGAGGAUGGUAGUUUGGUCCAGGACCUAACAGAGAGACAUGAACUAGUUAAGAACCAAGCUGCUGAUGAGGAAACAAAAGGCAAUUCUGGGCUAGGCAAUGAGGAUGGUGACAAGUUGAAAAAGAAAAGGAAGCAAAGAGGAGAGGAGAAAAUUCUUGAAGAUGAUAGUUGUAAGAAGGACAAAAUUCGGCAAUAUUGUGUGAAGUCUGGUAGUGUGACCCGAGAUUUGCCUAUGAGAAAUGAACAAAAUCAGAAACAAGCAGUUGAUAGGAGCUUUGAUAAUUAUGUUGAUCAGUUUGUUGAUGAAUCCCAUCCUGAUGAGCGGAAAAAGAAGAGGAAAAAUAAGCAAGGAAAAACUGAACAUGUUAAAGAUGCCAUAAAUGCGGAGAACCCUAUUUUGCCAAUGGUGGAAAAGAACAAUUCUGUUGUGGAUGCUGAAAACAGGAGGGCUGAUGACAAGCCAUGUCAAUUCAGUAUAUUGCCAAAUGGGUUAAUCACUGAAGAGCUAGAAACUGGGAAAGAAGAUGGCAAAGUGGCUGGUCCAGGGAAAACUGUAUGGGAGUUGUUUUGAUACAGGAUGAACGUUCAAUUGCAUACUUCAACGACAAGUUAAAUGGAGCACCAUUGAACUAUUCUACUUAUGACAAGCAGUUAUAUAUUUUUAGUUUGUGCACUACAAGUGUGGCAGCAUUACCUACUUCCAAAAAAAUUUGUGAUUCAUACUGAUCAUGAGUCCCUCAAGUAUUUAAAGGAACAAAGGAAGCUAAACAAAAGACAUGCAAAGUGGAUAGAGUUCAUUGAGACUUUUCCCUAUGUGAUUCGUUAUAAGUAAGAUUCAAGGACAAAUUCUUUUGAAGAAGGGAAUAAUGCAGGCAUGGGUUCAAAGACAUUAAAGAGAAGUUUGAAAAAGAUAUUAUAAUGCCAGUUGGUCCAAUCACAAGAUUUCAAGUCAAGAAAUUAAAACGUACAUUUCACGACUUUGUACAAAGAUGGAUACAAUAAAAACUUAGCACAUGUGAACUAUUUGAAAAAUCAAAAAAGCCAAAAAAGAUUAUUAAUUUUGUCCGAAUGUGUGGACAUAAUUUACAAUGAAUGUUUAGGAUCAUUUGGUCAUUUUCUAAACUUUCUUUCUUAACUUGCAUAUUAAGAGCUCACCUAAUAACCAAUGAUUCUCCACAAGCAGCAUACUCA